GGAAAGAUGGCAGCAGGACAUACAGAUCUCAACAACUCUUAAAUUGCCAAGGCCAACAUGCAAGUCAUCAUAGCCUUGAACAUGUGAGGCAGAGAGCCCAAAUGAGAUGAACACCUUGGGCAAUAUCAGGUGACUGUUGUUCCAGUGCCACCAGAACAUUGCAAGUCUUGUAGUCAAAGCCUGUUUAGAAGACGACACAGGAAUAAAUUAACUUCCUUUCAUAGCGAAGCACAGCUACAUGGAACCAUAUGCCCGAAAUUCCA